AGCGAACGCUGGCGGCAGGCCUAACACAUGCAAGUCGAGCGCCCAGCAAUGGGAGCGGCAGACGGGAUAGUAACACGUGGGAACGUACCCUUCAGUUCGAAACAACCCAGGGAAACUUGGGCUAAUACCGAAUACGUCCGUAAGGAGAAAGAUUUAUCGCUGAAGGAUCGGCCCGCGUCUGAUUAGCUAGUUGUGAGGUAAUGGCUCACCAAGGCGACGAUCAGUAGCUGGUCUGAGAGGAUGAUCAGCAUCACUGGGACUGAGACACGGCCCAGACUCCUACGGGAGGCAGCAGUGGGGAAUAUUGGACAAUGGGCGCAAGCCUGAUCCAGCCAUGCCGCGUGGAUAAUGAAGGCCCUAGGGUUGUAAAGUCCUUUCGGCGGGGAAGAUAAUGACGGUACCCGCAGAAGAAGCCCCGGCUAACUUCGUGCCAGCCGCCGCAGUAA
rnacentral:rRNA from 1 species